UACGAAGGGGGCGAGCGUUGUUCGGAAUUACUGGGCGUAAAGGGCGCGCAGGCGGCUCUGAAAGUCAGAUGUGAAAGCCCCGGGCUUAACCUGGGAAUUGCAUUUGAUACUCUGGAGCUUGAGUACGGGAGAGGAGAGUGGAAUUCCCAGUGUAGAGGUGGAAUUCGUAGAUAUUGGGAAGAACACCGGUGGCGAAGGCGGCUCUCUGGACCGUAACUGACGCUGAGGCGCGAAAGCGUGGGGAGCAAACAGG
rnacentral:rRNA from 1 species